rnacentral:rRNA from 1 species
CUUUGCUGACGAGUGGCGGACGGGUGAGUAAUGUCUGGGAAACUGCCUGAUGGAGGGGGAUAACUACUGGAAACGGUGGCUAAUACCGCAUAAUGUCGCAAGACCAAAGAGGGGGACCUUCGGGCCUCUUGCCAUCAGAUGUGCCCAGAUGGGAUUAGCUUGUUGGUGAGGUAACGGCUCACCAAGGCGACGAUCCCUAGCUGGUCUGAGAGGAUGACCAGCCACACUGGAACUGAGACACGGUCCAGACUCCUACGGGAGGCAGCAGUGGGGAAUAUUGCACAAUGGGCGCAAGCCUGAUGCAGCCAUGCCGCGUGUAUGAAGAAGGCCUUCGGGUUGUAAAGUACUUUCAGCGGGGAGGAAGGUGUUGUGGUUAAUAACCGCAGCAAUUGACGUUACCCGCAGAAGAAGCACCGGCUAACUCCGUGCCAGCAGCCGCGGUAAUACGGAGGGUGCAAGCGUUAAUCGGAAUUACUGGGCGUAAAGCGCACGCAGGCGGUCUGUCAAGUCGGAUGUGAAAUCCCCGGGCUCAACCUGGGAACUGCAUUCGAAACUGGCAGGCUUGAGUCUUGUAGAGGGGGGUAGAAUUCCAGGUGUAGCGGUGAAAUGCGUAGAGAUCUGGAGGAAUACCGGUGGCGAAGGCGGCCCCCUGGACAAAGACUGACGCUCAGGUGCGAAAGCGUGGGGAGCAAACAGGAUUAGAUACCCUGGUAGUCCACGCCGUAAACGAUGUCUACUUGGAGGUUGUGCCCUUGAGGCGUGGCUUCCGGAGCUAACGCGUUAAGUAGACCGCCUGGGGAGUACGGCCGCAAGGUUAAAACUCAAAUGAAUUGACGGGGGCCCGCACAAGCGGUGGAGCAUGUGGUUUAAUUCGAUGCAACGCGAAGAACCUUACCUGGUCUUGACAUCCACGGAAGUUUUCAGAGAUGAGAAUGUGCCUUCGGGAACCGUGAGACAGGUGCUGCAUGGCUGUCGUCAGCUCGUGUUGUGAAAUGUUGGGUUAAGUCCCGCAACGAGCGCAACCCUUAUCCUUUGUUGCCAGCGGUCCGGCCGGGAACUCAAAGG